rnacentral:rRNA from 1 species
GACGAACCGUGCGAACGUUGUUCGGAAUCACUGGGCUUAAAGGGCGCGUAGGCGGGCAGCCAAGUCUGUGGUGAAAUCUUUCGGCUUAACCGGAAAAUAGCCGUGGAUACUGGCUGUCUUGAGGGAGGUAGGGGCCUGUGGAACUUCCGGUGGAGCGGUGAAAUGCGUUGAUAUCGGAAGGAACGCCGGUGGCGAAAGCGACGGGCUGGAUCUCUUCUGACGCUGAGGCGCGAAAGCUAGGGGAGCAAACGGG